UACGUAGGGGGCAAGCGUUGUCCGGAAUCAUUGGGCGUAAAGCGCGUGUAGGCGGUUCAGUAAGUCUGCUGUGAAAGUCCAGGGCUCAACCCUCGGAUGCCGGUGGAUACUGUCGGGCUUGAGUACGGAAGAGGCGAGUGGAAUUCCUGGUGUAGCGGUGAAAUGCGCAGAUAUCAGGAGGAACACCAAUUGCGAAGGCAGCUCGCUGGGACGUUACUGACGCUGAGACGCGAAAGCGUGGGGAGCAAACAGG
rnacentral:rRNA from 1 species